GAAAGUGGGGCGAGAUACUGCAUUAGGAACUGAUUGGUUGUUAAUUUCACUCAGUUUCAGGUGCAUUAAAUUGCUACACUAUAUGUCAUCCACCAGUAUGAG
rnacentral:pre_miRNA from 1 species